AGUCUUGAGUUUUUGUUAAUUUUGGACAUAGGAAGUGGCUCCAAUCUGAACGUUUGAUCGUCUGAGAUCUGAAAUUUCUAAUAAUCCAACACCACCCUUAAAAGUUUGUAAACAGAAUAUAUUUUUGACACAACUGCCUUAGCCUGCAAGUUCACAGCAUUUUUCCUCGUUAAAUUUUCAACAGAAUGAUACCCUGAUCAUUGUUUAUUUUUCAUAGUUGC
rnacentral:lncRNA from 1 species